AUGAGCGGCGCACCACCACCACCGCCACCUUACAAUCAAGUGAGUUCGAUCUUUGAAAAAAACUAAACCGAAAAUGAUUCAAGGCUUAUAACGCAUAUCCACAACCUCCACAAGGUGUCUACACAGUACAACCCGGUGUUCCCAUCGGACAAGGCGUUCAACCAGCAUAUGCAGUAUAUUAUCAACAGCCUCAAACUGUCAUAGUUGACGACUGCCAUCACCAUCAUCAUCAUCGUGAACGGGAGCACGGGGGAGGAGGAGGCGAAAUGUGUUGCUUAGCUGGUUUAAUGGCUUGUCUAUGUUUUUUGUGUUUGAGCAAAUAA
rnacentral:misc_RNA from 1 species